rnacentral:rRNA from 1 species
AGCAGUCGCCGCGGGAAUACGAAGGGUGCAAGCGUUACUCGGAAUUACUGGGCGUAAAGCGUGCGUAGGUGGUGGUUUAAGUCCGUUGUGAAAGCCCUGGGCUCAACCUGGGAAUUGCAGUGGAUACUGGGUCACUAGAGUGUGGUAGAGGAUAGUGGAAUUUCCGGUGUAGCAGUGAAAUGCGUAGAGAUCGGAAGGAACAUCUGUGGCGAAGGCGACUAUCUGGGCCAACACUGACACUGUGGCACGAAAGCGUGGGGAGCAAACAGGAUUAGAUACCCCGGUAGUCCCUGUCUCUUAUAC